CAACUUUCAACAACGGAUCUCUUGGUUCUGGCAUCGAUGAAGAACGCAGCGAAAUGCGAUACGUAGUGUGAAUUGCAGAAUUCAGUGAAUCAUCGAAUCUUUGAACGCACAUUGCGCCCUUUGGUAUUCCAAAGGGCAUGCCUGUUCGAGCGUCAUUUG
rnacentral:rRNA from 6 species